GGGCUCGAUGAUGAUGUAUUUUUAUUCUGUUCUUCUGAAGUUGCAAUAAGGAAGAACAAUUUGGAUACCUGAAUUGAGUAUUC
rnacentral:snoRNA from 1 species